CUAGUAGUCAAAGCAAUGGUGAGUCAAUAAGAAGCAUACAAGCAAAUAUAAGCAAAGAAAGCUAUCAAACCGACAAAGAGCCCAGCAACUACAUACCAUAACAAAAUGAUUAAUGGGUUCUUAUCAUUAUUUUGGACUUGUGGAAGAGGGAGCGGGAAUAUUUGUUAAUCUUUGCAGAAUCAAACAAGACAAUCCACACUAUGACCAAAAAGAAUAAUUGUAUCCCUAGAAAAACCUGAUACACAUAUUUCUUGCAUUUUACUAAGUGAUAGGCUUAUAACAACAACAACUACCCAGUAUAGUCCCACAAAGUGAGGUCUGGGAGGGUAAUAUGUAGACGGGCCUUACCCCUACCCGAAAGGGCAGAGAGGCUGUUUUCAAUCGACCCUUGGCUCAGUAAUGGAAAGGAAAAAUAAAAAUAAAAACAAAAGGGCAUUAGUAACUCCAGCAGAAAUAGCGUAAAUAAUUAUCUAAACAUAAGAUGGGCAGAGAGGUUGUUUCUAAUCGACCCUCGGCUUAGUGAAGGAAAGGACUCACUACCCUUACUGUUUUGGCACAAAUUGAUCCUCCAUUAAACUUUGGUGCAAACUAAAACUAACUGGACUAACAAUAAGCCAAGCUUACAUUUUUUUAAAUGAAAUGACCCAAGCAUACUCAUAGUAAAACAUUGAGGUACAGUCAAGAAACCAUGAAUCAUUAGAGCAUCAACUAAAUGCAUGGCUUUCAAUACUGUAGCAGACAACACAAAUAUCUCAACAAAAAGUCUGAACACCUUAUGUAGUACCCAACUGAUGUUGCAGAUAAUGCAGUACAAUAGAAUAACCAUAUGGAAUUAGGUUUCCUACAAUACACAGCUAUUAUUUCCGUAUCUCCAACUUCCUUCCAGAAGAUGCUGUAGAAUUAUUACUCAAUGAAUGUAGCUUCUUGACCUCACUGGACACUGAUCAUAAACUUCCAAAACUUAAGCCCAGGGAUGAAUUCUUAAAAAAAAGAUUCUCUAGGUGCAUGGCAAAUAUUCCUUUCUUUAGAUUACGUGUCAUCCCGGACAAAAGACUAUUCUACAAGUAUGAACAUGUUCAAAUGGGCAUAUCUAUGACACAGGUGGAAAAAGCAUAAUUCAAUAAUCCAAUUGAAUAAGCAUCCUGACCAAACAGACAAAAAGAUGCACACCAAUUCAUCCAUUUAGCUUGCUAAUUUUUGCACGGACUGGCUUGCGUGGGGAAACACUGCAAGACUGUCAUCCUGCAGAGUCAGUGCCUAUUUCCUAUGUUCUUACUCUAUUUACCAACGCAGGUUAAGAGUAGUUAAGCAUUUAAGAGAAACUGAGACUUUGAUCAAUUCUCUUCAGCACCCUUUUCACGGGUGUACCCUUUGGUACAAACUCCCUAAGAUAACAAAGAACAUUUAUAUGCCUUGAAAAGAAAGAAACCAGCCUUACUUAAGAACUACAGUAUUUGAGAGAAACAGACAUAACAGAUGAGUUUAAUUUUCCAAGUAUAGACAAAAUAGACAAUCUUGCAAGGAACAAACAAAAGCUACCCCUGAAAGAUUGAGGAAGAUGAUUGAAACAGCAAAAGCAGUGUAGUACAUACUGCAAUGCUAAAGUAAUAUUAGUAGUAGCCAAACAAAUACAUA
rnacentral:lncRNA from 1 species